rnacentral:tRNA from 1 species
GCUAGGGUAGUUUAACGGUUCAAAAUAUUAAUUUCAUGCAUUAACGUUGAGGGUUCGAUUCCUUCUCCUAGCU